rnacentral:rRNA from 1 species
GACGAACGCUGGCGGCGUGCUUAACACAUGCAAGUCGAGCGGAGCGGCGGACGGGUGAGUAAUGCCUAGGAAUCUGCCUGGUAGUGGGGGAUAACGUCCGGAAACGGGCGCUAAUACCGCAUACUAUCAGAUGAGCCUAGGGUGGAUUAGCUAGUUGGUGGGGUAAAGGACUACCAAGGCGACGAUCCGUAACUGGUCUGAGAGGAUGAUCAGUCACCUUGGAACGGAGACACGGGCCAGACUCCUACGGGAGGCAGCAGUGGGGAAUAGUGGGCAAUGGGCGAAAGCCUGAUCCAGCCAGGCCGCGUGUGUGAAGAAGGUCUUCGGAUUGUAAAGCACUUUAAGUUGGGAGGCGUUACCAACAGAAUAAGCACCGGCUAACUUCGUGCCAGCAGCCGCGGUAAUAC